CUUUUUCUUUACCACAAUCUGCAAUAGAAUCCUAUAUCGUCCCCUUGCUAGCUACAUGUACGAUAACUACCACAAACAUCUGCGUUUUAUUGUUUCUAGCUUUAAAAUGCAGUCACAUUUGUGUAAAAAGACAUUAUUGCACCAAAACUGUCAUAAUUUUUAUUAAUUCACCCUCCCUUUGCUCCUCCUCAGAGGUGGAUGGGGAGAUGUGGUGCUACCAAAAACCGGGGUUUGAAGCCCUCCUCCUCGCUGAGCUGCAGAGACAGCAACAGUGCAGCCAGUUCUGUGACACUCUGCUCAAGACAGAAGGUAUAAAUACACUCACAACAACUACAUUACACGCACAACACACUGUCACCUUUAGACUGUCUUCUUUUGCUGUUUGUGUUCAUUUAAUCAGCAGGUAGAAGGUUUGCAAAUAGACAAUCUCAUAUUUUUUCAUGUAGUUGUGGAAGCCAUUAUCAUUACUGACAUCUUUCCUGUCCUCCAGGUGUAUCAGUGCCCGCACACAGUUGUAUUCUGUCAGCCAUCAGCCCCCACAUCGCCUCUGCUCUGUCCUCCAUGCCGCCGCCUCCUGCAGGACAGAGCCAUCUCUUGGAGUUUCGGGCUCUUGGCGCAUGCACCCUGCUCCAUAUGGUCAGACUGCUGUACUGUGGGGAGAUGACUGGGGAGGGGGAGAAGGAGAAGCAAGAGGCUAUUUUGACUGCCGCCAAGCUGGGCAUCCACGGGCUGGUGGAGGUCACAAAAAGAGAUCAUAAAAGCAGAAGUGAGGAAGGAAAAGGCUGGCAUUCGGAGGUAGGAGUGCAGACGGAUCCACUGAUGCCUGAGGAGGAUGAAGGGAGACGGGGCAGGUGGAGGAGAGAGGUGAGGGAUGGGAGCACCUUUCUGUGGAAAGAGACACACUCAGAUGGUAUGGAAGACACACAGACUCAAACAGAAGAGCUGCAAGAAGAAAUGAGUCCCCCAUCUCACCCAGCAGCCUCCUUAGAGACCAUUGAUAUGGCAACCUUCCAGAAUUUAGGACAGGCCGAAUCCCAUCUUUUCCCCCCUCAAAUUCCCUACAUCCCCAUAUCCCUCUUCUAUCCACCAGAUGGAAACCAAACACAUCAACCUUCAUCUGCUCUCGUUGACUCCAUGCAAGAAUCCAUCACAGCAGCUGGACACACGUCUGUUGUGGCGCCGCCGCACACCUUCGUCCCCCCAACCCUCCCAUUUUUGAGCCAAGCGGGCCCAUGUGCUGAUGACCUCCAGAGCUGGUGGGCCGGCCCUCAAGGAGCAGCCAGAGAUGACGCAGCAGCAGCUGAAGAAUGGGAGCACGAGCAGUUGGAGCAGUUUCAAGGCAACAUCCCAGGAUACAUCAGCUACUUUCUGAACCCGGACAAGGAGGAUUGCUCCGGUAGGGGGCGAGCAAGGAGGAGGCGGGGAGCAGGAGUGGGAGGUGCCAGAAGAGCUGGGACGAGUGGGAGAAGAGCCAGGAGACCACGAGCAAGAACAGGAGGGAGGGGGAGAGGGGGGUUAACACAAACUGUGGCUGUGCAGGUGGUGGGGGUGGGCAAGCUGCAGAAGUUGUUCAUGCAGCGGUGGGGGGUGAGGUCGCCCAGGACGGGUCAGGGCGGAGGAGCUGUAGGCAGGAAGUUGUUCCUGAAGACCAGAGAGCUUCUGAAGCCAGCCAAGAACUGCCAGAGGGGAAGAGGCCGCCGCAAAGUGUGGGAGUUCAGCCAGAUUGGAGACGUACUGCCGUACAGUGAGGGAGGAGGAGGCAACACGCAGCGUGGAAGGAAGAGACCAACGCAGCAGAUCGACCAGCCUUCUGCGUCACCCGGCCUGCUGUCACCUGCGGCCUCCUACAUGCCUCCAGCAUCGUCCCUCCUCCACAGCACCUCCCUCCCUCCUCCGGCUCCUCCACCUCAUGAGCAACAGCCCGAACACUUUAAUUGUCUACUGGAGGAAAUGAUGAUGGGCCUCGACAUUUUACCAAUCAACAACGACGAUGCUCCACAUUUUCAGCCUCCUCUGUCAACCAGUAGCAGCAGUUGUGACUUUGCCUCCUGUGGCAAUGCUUUGGCUCAAAACAAACAACAAGUCCGUAGCACUGGCCUCCUGGAAGGUUUGCAUGGUUCCACACCGGUGGUUGCUGUAGCAAGAGGAGCUGGAAGCUCCAACUCUUCAAACAGUGAGAUGCCCGUUCUGCAGCAGCAUGGAGAAGGGGAGCUGAAUGAGAUGCUGGACCACUUCCUCCAGUCCCUUGAGCAGCACGUGGACAGCUGUACUGCCGGGGAAGAGGCGGAGAUGGGUGGUCAGAGCUGCACAGAGGUCAGCCAGCCUUACUCUGUCCUGAGAAAAUGCAGAAAAACAAAUACCCAGACCACCAAGACCCCACACACCCCUCGUCUACAGAAUACACACACACCGCAUCCAGCCAGGCGCUCUCAAAUAACUGAACUGGAGAAUGAUGAAGCUGAAAUACCACCAAGACGUUCACAGUCUCACAAGUCUUCUGCUCGCAGUGCGCCUCCAAAACACACUGAGGGAUCGCCGGGGAAAGUCGGAGCACCAGCCAGAAAAAAAGAAAGAAGAAAUCAGCGUCUGUUCUCAUUGGAGAGAAAGAGUGUGAGGAAGCCAGAGUCAUGUGACCAAAUCCUUCGUGGCCGAAGAGACAAGCAGCUGCAGCGGAUGCCUGUGGUGAAACUGGAGAGGAGUGGCCCGCUGCCAGCCAAAGUUACACUGCAGGAGCGCAGCUGCCUGGAAGUCAAGGACCGUGUGCCGAUUCCGCCACCGUCAGCAGGUCGCAGGCGUGGCCGGCCCAAGAAAAAUGGACAAUUUCACAGUUUAUCUAAUGAGAGGUCAACACCAUCAGUUCAGCCACAGCCUGUGGAGCCCUGUAGCACAGAUGAACAACCAGAGAGAAAUCAAGAGAGACAUGAAGAAAAAUUGUCCGUCCAGCCGCAGGAAGAGGUAGAGGGAGCUGCACGGAGGGGAGAGAAAAGGCGAGCAGAUUCAGAGGAGACAAGUGAUGAAUCCACGGUGACCAAGAGGGUUUGCUUUGAACAAAUGUCUCAGCCGACCUCUGAAACGUGUGUACCGAGCUCUCCAUCUGCAGACUUUGUCUCCAAACCAGCAACCAAAGAGAUAAUGGCUGAAGUCUCCAUAGAGACUAUUUCCACUGCAGGAGAUUGUUUACAAAGAGAAGACAGAGAAGGAAAAACAACGAGGAGUGAAAUAAAACUCAGAGAAACUGAGGAAAGUUUGAUGGAUGAAGAGAUGGAGAGCAACUAUGAUGAGAUCAUCAUAGUUCACCAGAACAGAGACAGAGAAUCUGAAGACUUAGAGACAUGCCAGCGCAGAACAGCACCGGCUCCUUUGUCACCAUCUUCACAUUCAGCAAAAGAGGUCGUCAGUCUGAGGUCAACAGGAAGCUGGGAAGAGGACAAAGACGAGGACAUUGAUGUGAUUGGUGGUUCCAGUCCUGUCCGUGAUCCGGUGCUCAUCAGCUGGACUGAGUCUUCAGAAGUUGAGGAAGAGGAAGGAGACGAGGACAUUGAUGUUGAAAAGACGGACUACGCUCCAUCUGCGGUCUUCGCUACCUAGAUGGAAGCUUAUUAACAGAAAAUGCAAGACUGAGGUGCUUCAUUAGCAUCUGUGACGGCCAGUUUACUUUUCUACUUGUGUUCUUCAGUUUAUGUUAUUUAAUUUCCCAGAAAACCUUCUGAAUGUGUUUCAUUUAGCUGAAAGAGAUCCAACAAAUGUGGGUUCAUCAUAAAUGUCUUCUGUUGGUAUUGUUUUAACCUUGAUGUGCAAACACUGACAAUCACGGGAGGGAUUUCUGUUCCUAUUCCAGCAAAGUUUAAGAAAAGAAGAGUUGUGUGCAUCUUGUUGGAAUGAAAGAAAAUGAAAGAUGUGCAUCAUAAUGCAUAAAUGCACUUCAAUCAGCAGCAACAUAACAGGACUGUGUAGUUUAUAUUGAGCUGAUUACACAGACUUAACCUUUGUCAAACUGUCAAAGGUGACUGGGAUCGCUCUUUUUGUACUUUGGAGAUAUUUAGCAGUUGAUUUUAUGUAAAGAGUUGUUAUUGCUGAGCAGAUAUGUUCAGCAAAGUUUGUUUUAACUCAAGUGUUGAAAAUAACACGAACCAAACAGUUUAGAAAGAGAUUCACUGCAACAACAAAAUAAUCUGUUUUAUGUCCCGUCAAAGGAAGUAAGAGGGUUUUAUCAUCAGCCUCUGUUCUGCUACAGUUUGUAAAUGUUCCAGGAAAACUCUUGUCUUCCUUGUUUUACUGUCAGGUUAUGUUUGAUAAUGUUCCUCGUGGCACUUUUGAAUCUAGUACUAUUUCUACAAUAAAUAUUC
ensembl:lncRNA uncharacterized LOC115015023